rnacentral:rRNA from 1 species
GAUGAACGCUGGCGGCGUGCCUAAAACAUGCUAGUCGAACGGCAGCAUGACCUUCGGGUUGAUGGCGAGCGGCGGACGGCUGAGUAACGCGUAGGAAUAUACCCCAAAGUGAGGGAUAACUGCCCGAAAGGGUGGCUAAUACCGCAUGUGAUCUUCGGAUUAAAGCUUUAUUCGCUUUGGGAAUAGCCUGCGUUCGAUUAGCUAGUUGGUGAGGUAAAAGCUCACCAAGGCGACGAUCGAUAGCUGGUCUGAGAGGAUGAUCAGCCAGACUGGAACUGAGACACGGUCCAGACUCCUACGGGAGGCAGCAGUUGGGAAUUUUCCACAAUGGGCGAAAGCCUGAUGGAGCAACGCCGCGUGCAGGAUGAAUGCCUUCGGGUUGUAAACUGCUUUUAUGUGAGAAGAAUAUGACGGUAACACAUGAAUAAGGGUCGGCUAACUACGUGCCAGCCGCCGCCGUAA